rnacentral:pre_miRNA from 1 species
UGGACAGAUUAUUGUAUUCGACUGUAUUCACGGCGUGAAACAGGGGAUUACACUGUUUUUAAAUGGAAAAUGAAUCAAUUAACAUAAUAGACUCCU